UUCGCCUCUGCUGCCAUAAGCAGGCAGGCGGCCUGAGGCCUCGUCAUCCACCUCCUAAAAUUUCGUGGUGGAACACGCCGCCGUCGUUCCUCCGACCGAGCGCGUCUUCUCUCAAUAGGUGAAAGCUCUCGAAACCCGAUUGAUGCUUCAGAAGUUUUCUUUCUCAAGAACUGAAGCUUUUUCAAUCUAGCCGAUUGUUCGGAAGUCAAUUUUGGAUUGCAUCUUUUUCCCCGAUACACAUUCUUCAACUGGCUCGUCCCAGUUUGCAACCUUAAAUCUUGUACUGUACUAGGUAUUUCCCUGCACCUUUUACUACUAGGUGCUCCGUACUAGCUAAAUCUAUGCAUCGACUCCUGCUUUUGUUGCUGCAGGCAAAUCUCUCCGGUGAUCCUGUGAUUGUGGGAGACUCCAGCCGACUCUUGUGUCGACACCAGCAGGGGCACGGUGGUGACGAGCCUAGCUGAGAGACUUUGUCUUCUGAGGAGCAUUGGGGAGGAGUUCAUCGACGAGGAUGAACUCCUGUUGCUGCUGAACAACAAGGCUGCCCUGUUUGCUACGUUUGGUCUGUGACGUCCCCCUCGAUGCACAUUGCCCAGGGGAUUAUUUAGACGGUGUUUGUGAAUAGGAUGGUCGGAGCUGGUUUCAAAGUCAAAAUCUUGAUAGCAGAUUGGUUUGCCCAGAUGAGCUAUAAGAUUGGUAGUAAUCUGGAUAAAAUACAGACUAUCGGCCAGUACAAUAUUGAAGUGUGGAAGGCAACUGGCAUGGACCUUACCAGGGUGGAGCUUGUUUGGCUGUCAGAUGUAAUGAAUAUCCAUGCAGCCAAUUUUUGGC